CUGUAGGAGACACCUCCAGAGAAAGUAACAGCUCUCAAUUGAUUAGCUGAGGAAGACACCAGACAAAUGAGUUACACUGUUUUGGACUCCCCAACACAACCCAGCCACCGGCUGAAUGCCACCAAAUUACCUUCUAGUUAAAGGUUUAUGGAGCAAACGAAUCACCUAUUCAAUAUCUGCUUGAAUUUCUGACUCAAAAUACAUCAGGAGCAUGGUCAUAUAAAUUGUUAUUUAUUCAAAUUAUGGAAUAUUAUAAAGCAGUGAAAAACAAGUUAACUAUAACCAGAUGGAAUAACUUUGUCUCAUGAUGUAGCUUUGAGACAAACUACAAUUGUUUAUUUCUUCCUCUUGAAAUAUAGCCUCAGAAUGUGCUGUGAACCUCCACUGCCUUCCCUUUCCCACUUUAUGCUCCUAUGCCUUAUGCAUAUUUAUUAACCCAAAUGCUUGUUAACGCACACCAUGCUCACUUACCUGGUCAUAUCUUUAGAAGCCUCAGGGGCUGGAUCCUGACAUGAACCAGACACCUCCAGAAUUCUAUCCCAAGCAAAAGAUUAUUUCAAGGCCAGAACUCACUCCCUGCUGGAGACUGACUACAAGAUCCACUGAGAUUGAUGUGUAACCUGAUUGGGCCCACAGUGAUGCUAGCCCCUUCACCAGAUGGAACAAUAAUUCCAGACAAGCCAUCAGAGCAGGUCACACCACUUGACACCUUCUC
ensembl:lncRNA novel transcript